AUGGAGACGGUGAAGGAGCCUGGCGCUGAUGCUGGUUUGGCAGUGGCGACAAUGGAUUCAAUGGACAAGACGGCGGGCCGAUGGGCCGGCGAACCUGCUGAUGUAGAGGGCAAGGUUGCAGAGAUGAUGGAGCGUCUCAAUCUGACUUUAGCAGAAGCGGAUGCCCUUAUCCUGCAAGAUGAGAAUGAAGCUGAUUUAGUGAAUCUAUUUUGCUCUAAUUUGCAAGGUAUUAUCCCCAAACAUUAUUCAUAUAUAGACUAUCAUAUCGGCACUGAGGCCAGAUUGGGGGAACCCCAAAGGAUUGGUUGUGAAACCUGUGGCAGAUAA
rnacentral:rRNA from 1 species